rnacentral:rRNA from 1 species
UACGUAGGGUGCGAGCGUUAAUCGGAAUUACUGGGCGUAAAGCGUGCGCAGGCGGUGAUGUAAGACAGUUGUGAAAUCCCCGGGCUCAACCUGGGAAUUGCAUCUGUGACUGCAUCGCUAGAGUACGGUAGAGGGGGAUGGAAUUCCGCGUGUAGCAGUGAAAUGCGUAGAUAUGCGGAGGAACACCGAUGGCGAAGGCAAUCCCCUGGACCUGUACUGACGCUCAUACACGAAAGCGUGGGGAGCAAACAGG